rnacentral:rRNA from 1 species
UACAGAGGGUGCGAGCGUUGUUCGGAAUUAUUGGGCGUAAAGGGCGCGUAGGCGGUGCGGUAAGUCACCUGUGAAAUCUCCUGGCUCAACUGGGAGCUUGCAGGCGAAACUGCCGUGCUGGAGUGUGGGAGAGGUGCGUGGAAUUCCUGGUGUAGCGGUGAAAUGCGUAGAUAUUGGGAGGAACACCAGUGGCGAAGGCGGCUCACUGGACCGGAACUGACGCUGAGGCGCGAAAGCGUGGGGAGCAAACGGG